GUAAAACUCAUAGGGUUGAGGCUUUUGUUUUUUGUUUUUUUUGUUUUGGCACUCCUGGGAAGCAAUUCUCUUCCCCCCCACCCCCCAUUAAUUAUCUGAGCAGAUGGCUUAAUUGCCACUAUGGCCUGCAGCCUUCUAAAACAGCUUCAGGAGAACAGCCAGUACAACAGGUGAAAUUAACAGAGUGGAGCACAGUCAUCUAUCCAGCUGAUUCGGAAAAGGAUGACAUUUGCAAAAAAAAAAAAAAAAAAAGAAAAGUUGCUAUGACAACUUCAUCCAUCACAUUUCCUGCUGCAUCAAAUUCAUAAAUGUCUUUGUCUGUGUUGGAACCAGCGCUGAAAACCUUCUGUUGCCAAGAAGAGUUCGGGCAGAAGACACACACCUUGAAUUGCACAUGUUGCUAACGCGCAACAGGUCUGGAGCUUGGGAGUUGUUGGCCUUGUCAUCUGACUUCUGUAGCUGGAGAGAUGUUUGUGACCUAUCAGCCUCCAUUGAAUCCUGGCUUCCUGAUUCUUGAGGCUGACCAUCCUGAACAACAGGCUCAGCUGGCACAAGACUGUCAGAUUCCAGAUUUUGACUCCUGAAAAAGUGUGAGAAAACAGACUGCCAGCCAAAUGCCCAGCACCUGGAUAGCUGGUGCCUUGUGCCUUUAAGGUUUCUUCUUAGCCAGUCCAGCAAGGAAGCAGGACCUAGAGGCAAAGUGUAAGCUUUCAGACAAAUGCUAACAGAGAUUUUUCACCCUCCCCAGGCUGGAAGAAACAGGUUCCUAUCAUGCAUAGAUCUUCUCAUGUAGGAAUGGGGAGGGAAGUUGAAAUGGACUCAAUUGUUGGAAGAGUAGAAAAGGAAGAUGACUAGAAAAUACAUGUUUUCAUUUAGGUUGCUUUAGUUGCUGAAUAAUUGCCUGCCCGAGGAUGGACUGAGAUCGCUAAAGAACUAUAAACAAAGUUGGACCGAAUUUUGAGAGACAGUGUCCACCAACCACUGGUGUCCCAAAGGUCAAGAAAAUUUGGAGAUCAAUCUGUUGCUGCCUAUGAGAAAUUGCCAGCUAAGCUUAUUCAAAACUCUUGAUUAUACAAAGUCAAACUCUCAGAGAAACUGAAGCCUUUUUUCUAUUGCAAUGUUUCAAAUAAAGAGAAAAUUUGAACCAGUGCACAUGAUGACCCUUGUAUGCUGUUAUUUGGAAUGGUUCUGAAAACACUCAUAUACACAUCUUGUGAUAAUCCAAAUAUAAAUAUUAUGAAAUAAUAACUUAAGUGUACAGAAUAUUUAAAAUACUACUACAGUCAGUUUCUGAACAAAAUAAAGAAGCUGAGAGAGUUAUCAGAGUAUUAAAAUAUAUAUAUAUAAAAUAAUGGGGAAUCUUAAUAUUCUAUGCUUAAUUAAUUCUUAGCAAAUGAACUGAGUAACUUUCAUCAGAUUUGCUUAGACUCUUAACUUCCCCAAACAAAUCCCCACUCAGCAAGUAUUGUGCAAUCAGUUUUUCCUGUUCAUUUGCAACAGGAACAGUUUUGUCAUUAUGUCAUCAUGAUUUCAUCAUGAUGUAAAAAAGAUGUGGAGACUCUAGAAAGAGUGCAGAAAAGAGCAACAAAG